rnacentral:misc_RNA from 1 species
CGUGUCCGCUCUGUAGCAGCCAUCGAACUCUCCAAGCGCACCGCAUCACGAAAGCACGUUCGUACACACGUGCACGCUCCUUCGCGAGAAACUAGUCCAGGCUCUUCGGUGUGCCUGUAUACUCACCACGCUCAUCUACUGCUCGACCCCUUCCUCCUACCAAUGAACCCGGACGACGGGUCCGAGGCGGGCAGCAUUGCCGAGCCGUUGCCGCAGGAGCAAAUCACGAUGCUGCUCAAUGUGCAGGACUUCCAGGAGAAGGUUGCACAAGACCCGGCAAACCUGUGCUGCGUGAUUGUGACGAGCACUUUAUGCCGCCAUUGCGGCAUUCGCCGCAUCCCGUACCCGAAGGUGGCUCAUCCACACAGCAAGACCAGCAGCAAUGAAGACGGCGAAAGCGAGGACGAGGAUGCUGACACCGACAGCGAUGACGGCUACGGCGACGAGGAGGACUCACAGGCCGAUGGUGGCGCAGGGCACAGUGCCCGCGCUGGUCACUUUUACCGCGAUAUCGAGGAGCACCUCGUUCACAAUCGCGACACAGCAACACAGCGGCGGCACACACGCUUUUUUCACGUCUGCGCGUGUAUGGAGGAGGAAACAUGCGUCGACUUUUUGAUCGCUGCGGACCCUGCGUACAGCUUGCUCAACAAGCAGCCCACCGCGCACGAGAUGGCGCUUCUGCAUAAGAAGGCUCACCAUCAGCUCAAGGAGCUCCUGAACUUGCUAGAGGUGCGUAGCACACCAUCAAUGCGCCUCUACCUUGCUGGGCAGCCGCUGCGGUACUCGGCGAUGCUGUCGAGCUGCAAUGACGCUGCCGCGCCGAAGGAUGUGACCGAGGAGACAGAUGUGUUGCAGGUCUCGGGGGCGAACUGGAUCAAAUGGUUUCAAGUGCUGCAAAACGCGGUGGUGGUGCGCAACGAGGUGAUGCGGUCGUACGACACAGAGGGGCGGGAGAAGGCCCGGGCUGCGCGUGCGGAGGCGCGCCGGCAGGCCCGUCGUGAGCGUAGGAAGCAGGCAGCCGCGGACGAGGAGGAGGGGGACGAGGAGGGCGCAGAGGACGGCUAAAAGAAGCACAGGGUGCCCGGCCUGCAAAGGAUGAAAGACGGGAAAGGACAGUGGCGCCCCACCUCCCCCGUUGCUGGGGAGACGGUAGACCCUCUCCCUCUCCUCUCAAUCAUUGGUGGAGCCUCUCCUUUUCUUCUCAUGCAAGCUGACUUGUGACUUUUAUGGACGCAGAGGCGUGAGUGUGUGUGUGUAUGUGCGCGUCUUUGGCGGCCAUGCAGUUAUAGCGUCAAAAAGAAGAGGCCGCAAGAUAGCAGAUGUAGACUAGCCGAUAUGCGCAACUUCAUGUUUGUCCGUGCGCGUGCGCGUCGGACGUUUUGUGUCGGCAAGUGUGUUGCCUGAGCAACACUGAACGAAGCAGAGAAAAGGGAUAGCGCCCCUUUGAGGCGCACCACUCGCGCGUUUCCAGGGACAAACUAGAUCAGGUAGACAUGCAAGCCCAAACGCGUAGUCUGACGAGUGCAGAAACCCCCUGUAGUGGCACCUUUGCGGUGCGUCGCUGAAGGUGGUAGCGAAGAGGAGUGUUCACAAGGGAAGCGGACCAUUGAAGAAGGCUGACACACUCCGUGCUCGCGUGAACACCCCUCAACAAUGGCGCCAUCGCAGGGGUAUGGUGAUGGCGUGUACAUGCAUUCCGUAUCGUUCUGCUCCGCCUUCGAGAACCACCCCGGUUUCGUUCACUCCCUCUAAUCCAUUCUCAACGCUCUCCUCCCUGAUUUUGGUUUCACAUUCACUACCCCUUCUUGAAACGCUCACCCGCAAUACAG